GAUGAACGCUGGCGGCGUGCCUAAUACAUGCAAGUCGAGCGAACAGACGAGGAGCUUGCUCCUCUGACGUUAGCGGCGGACGGGUGAGUAACACGUGGAUAACCUACCUAUAAGACUGGGAUAACUUCGGGAAACCGGAGCUAAUACCGGAUAAUAUAUUGAACCGCAUGGUUCAAUAGUGAAAGACGGUUUUGCUGUCACUUAUAGAUGGAUCCGCGCCGCAUUAGCUAGUUGGUAAGGUAACGGCUUACCAAGGCAACGAUGCGUAGCCGACCUGAGAGGAUGAUCGGCCACACUGGAACUGAGACACGGUCCAGACUCCUACGGGAGGCAGCAGUAGGGAAGAUUCCGCAAUGGGCGAAAGCUUGACGGAGCAACGCCGCGUGAGUGAUGAAGGUCUUCGGAUCGUAAAACUCUGUUAUUAGGGAAGAACAAAUGUGUAAGUAACUAUGCACGUAUUGCCGGUACCUAAUCAGAAAGCCACGGCUAACUACGUG
rnacentral:rRNA from 1 species